GACAGUGUGGUGUAGUGGUUUCAGUAUUGAACUACAACUCUGGAGGCCUGGGUUCGAAUCCCCAGCUCGGCCA